rnacentral:antisense_RNA from 1 species
GUAGGAGCUGCCGCAGGCUGCGAUCUUUUGAUGUUGUUUUUUACAAUCAAAAGAUCGCAGCCUGCGGCAGCUCCUAC